rnacentral:rRNA from 1 species
AUUGAACGCUGGCGGCAGGCCUAACACAUGCAAGUCGAGCGGAUGAAGGGAGCUUGCUCCUGGAUUCAGCGGCGGACGGGUGAGUAAUGCCUAGGAAUCUGCCUGGUAGUGGGGGAUAACUUCCGGAAACGGGCGCUAAUACCGCAUACGUCCUGAGGGAGAAAGUGGGGGUUCUUCGGACCUCACGCUAUCAGAUGAGCCUAGGUCGGAUUAGCUAGUUGGUGGGGUAAAGGCCUACCAAGGCGACGAUCCGUAACUGGUCUGAGAGGAUGAUCAGUCACACUGGAACUGAGACACGGUCCAGACUCCUACGGGAGGCAGCAGUGGGGAAUAUUGGACAAUGGGCGAAAGCCUGAUCCAGCCAUGCCGCGUGUGUGAAGAAGGUCUUCGGAUUGUAAAGCACUUUAAGUUGGGAGGAAGGGCAGUAAGUUAAUACCUUGCUGUUUUGACGUUACCAACAGAAUAAGCACCGGCUAACUUCGUG